UGGGGAAUAUUGCACAAUGGGCGCAAGCCUGAUGCAGCCAUGCCGCGUGUAUGAAGAAGGCCUUCGGGUUGUAAAGUACUUUCAGCGGGGAGGAAGGGAGUAAAGUUAAUACCUUUGCUCAUUGACGUUACCCGCAGAAGAAGCACCGGCUAACCCCGUGCCAGCAGCCGCGGUAAUACGGAGGGUGCAAGCGUUAAUCGGAAUUACUGGGCGUAAAGCGCACGCAGGCGGUCUGUCCAGUCGGAUGUGAAAUCCCCGGGCUCAACCUGGGAACUGCAUUCGAAACUGGCAGGCCAGAGUCUUGUAGAGGGGGGUAGAAUUCCAGGUGUAGCGGUGAAAUGCGUAGAGAUCUGGAGGAAUACCGGUCGCGAAGGCGACCCCCUGGACAAAGACCGACGCUCAGGUGCGAAAGCGUGGGGAGCAAACAGG
rnacentral:rRNA from 1 species